UACGUAGGUGACAAGCGUUGUCCGGAUUUACUGGGCGUAAAGAGCGCGCAGGCGGUCGAUCAAGUCGAGUGUGAAAGCCCCCGGCUCAACUGUGGAGGGUCAUUCGAUACUGAUCGACUCGAAGGCAGGAGAGGGUAGUGGAAUUCCCGGUGUAGUGGUGAAAUGCGUAGAUAUCGGGAGGAACACCAGUGGCGAAGGCGACUACCUGGCCUGUUCUUGACGCUGAGGCGCGAAAGCUAGGGGAGCAAACGGG
rnacentral:rRNA from 1 species